rnacentral:rRNA from 1 species
AGUGAACGCUGGCGGUAGGCCUAACACAUGCAAGUCGAACGGCAGCACAGUAAGAGCUUGCUCUGACGGGUGGCGAGUGGCGGACGGGUGAGGAAUACAUCGGAAUCUACUUUUUCGGGGGGGUUAACGUAGGGAAACCUACGCCAAUACCGGAUACGACCUACGGGGGAAAGCAGGGGAUCUUCGGACCUUGCGCGGUUGAACGAGCGGAUGUCGGAUUGGCUAGUUGGCGGGGUAAAGGCCCACCAAGUCGACGAUACGUAGCUGGUGUGAGUGGAUGGUCGGCGACACUGGAGCUGAGACACGGUCCAUGGUCCUGCGGGACGCAGCAGUGGGGAAUAUUGGACAGAAGGCGCAAACCUUGUCCAGCCAUCCCGCGUGUGUUACGGAAGCCUUCCGGUUGUAAAGCCCUUUUGUUGGGAGAAAACCGCAGCAGGUUAAUACCACGCUGUUCUGACGGUACCCGAAGAAUAAGCACCGGCUAACUUCGUG